UACGUAGGGUGCGAGCGUUGUCCGGAAUUAUUGGGCGUAAAGAGCUUGUAGGCGGUUUGUCGCGUCUGCUGUGAAAAUUCAGGGCUUAACCCUGGACGUGCAGUGGGUACGGGCAGACUAGAGUAUGGUAGGGGAGACUGGAAUUCCUGGUGUAGCGGUGGAAUGCGCAGAUAUCAGGAGGAACACCGAUGGCGAAGGCAGGUCUCUGGGCCGGAACUGACGCUAAGGAGCGAAAGCGUGGGGAGCGAACAGG
rnacentral:rRNA from 1 species